CAAAGAUUAAGCCAUGCAUGUGUAAGUAUAAGUAUUAUACGGCGAAACUGCGAAUGGCUCAUUAAAACAGUUAUGAUUUAUUUGAUAAUCGAAAGUUACAUGGAUAACCGUGACAAAUUACAGCUAAUACAUGCAGUCAGACCUGGUCCAAGGGUCGUAAUUAUUAGUACCAAACCAAUUCCGCAAGGAAUGUGAUGAAUCAUAGUAAUCGAACGAAUCGCAGGUAUAUGCGAUAAGUCAUUCAAGUUUCUGCCCUAUCAGCUUUGGAUGGUAGUGUAUUGGACUACCAUGGCAGUCACGGGUAACGGAGAAUUAGGGUUCGAUUCCGGAGAGGGAGCCUGAGAAACGGCUACCACAUCUACGGAAGGCAGCAGGCGCGAAAAUUGCCCAAUCCUGACACGGGGAGGCAGUGACAAGAAAUAACAACUCUAGGUUUUCUUAGAAGUGUAAUGAGGAUAAUUUACAAACCUUACCAAAUGCAGUUGGAGGGCAAGUCUGGUGCCAGCAGCCGCGGUAAUUCCAGCUCCAAUAGCGUAUAUUAAAGUUGUUGCAGUUAAAAAGCUCGUAGUUGAAAUUCUGAUUGUUCGGGUUUUUAGCCUUUAGGCAGAAAUACCGACAGUCAUCCGCUUGCAAACAUAGCUUGAUCUUAACCGAUUAACUAUGUGAGUAAGCACUUUACCUUGAGAAAAACAGAGUGUUCCAGGCAGGUUUGUCCGGAAUGCAUUAGCAUGGAAUAAUAGAACAUGACUGAAGUCAAUUUAUUGGUUAAAGACUUUAGUAAUGAUUAAUAGGAACAGUCGGGGGCAUUCGUACUCAGCAGUCAGAGGUGAAAUUCUAAGAUUUGCUGAAGACGAACUAAUGCGAAAGCAUUUGCCAAGGAUGUUUUCGUUAAUCAAGAACGAAAGUUAGGGGAUCAAAGACGAUCAGAUACCGUCCUAGUCUUAACUAUAAACGAUACCGACUCGGAUUCAGAUGAAUCAAAAUGUUCAUUUGGGACCGUAGGAGAAAUCAAAGUCUUUGGGUUCUGGGGGGAGUAUGGUCGCAAGGCUGAAACUUAAAGGAAUUGACGGUUUUGCACCACCAUGGAGUGGAGUUUGCGGCUUAAUUUGACUCAACACUGGGAAACUCAUCAGGGCAAGAAGAUUUUAGGAUUGACAGAUUGAGAGUUCUUUCUUGAUUGGUCUAGUGGUGGUGCAUGGCCGUUCUUAGUUGGUGGAGUGAUUUGUCUGGUUAAUUCCGUUAACGAACGAGACCUUAACCUGCUAACUAGUGUUCUUAUUUCAAAUUUGAAUCACUUCUUAGAGGGACUAUGUGAUGUAAUCACAUGGAAGUUUGAGGCAAUAACAGGUCUGUGAUGCCCUUAGAUGUCCUGAGCUGCACGCGUACUACAA
rnacentral:rRNA from 1 species